CCAUCCUGCCCUGACCCUGCCAUGGGCACCAGGCUCCUCUGCUGGGCAGCCUGUGUCUCCUGGGGGCAGAUCACACAGGUGCUGGAGUCUCCCAGUCCCUGAGACACAAGGUAGCAAAGAAGGGAAAGGAUGUAGCUCUCAGAUAUGAUCCAAUUUCAGAUCAUAAUGUCCUUUAUUGAUAACGACAGAGCCUGGGGCAGGGCCUGGAGUUUCCAAUUUACUUCCAAGACAAGGAUGCAGCAGACAAAUCGGGGCUUCCCCAUGAUUGGUUCUCUGCAGAGAGGCCUGAGGGAUCCGUCUCCACUCUGAAGAUCAAGCGGACACAGCAAGGGGACUCGGCCGUGUAUCUCUGUGCCAGCAGCUCAGCCACAGCGUGGCACAGUCACCUCCUUCUGGCUCACAAACCUCAUCCUUCUCUCUCCUUGCAACUCCUGCAAACCCUUAACAGAGGCUUUGCUCCUCUGUUUGCUCCUCCUUCUCCAGGAGAAAGAAAUAGAUUUGGACCUCAGCUGUCCACAGAUUCACCCCUGAGACACAGUAACUAUAAAUGUGGGUGGUGGAAGCAAUCGUGGUCCACCAGGCUCCAGGAGUCCUCAGAGCCAACUCACUGUUCUAAGGCAAGCACUGGGUGUCUUAGCCUCGACCUUCAGGGCUGGGACACGCAGUUUUCUUCGGGGCUGGGAGGUUGCUGCCCACAUACAGAAGCUUUGGGCAUGGGCGGGGAACAGGCCUCUUCCCUUACAUGUGUUGGGCAUCUGGCAUCUGCAAGGUCUGAUGCUUCAUCCACAAGAACAUUCAUUCUUUCUUCUGAAUCCUCUUCUAUCCCUGUCACAUUGGAAGUUUUCUGUAUACAGGGGCACACCAUUCUUCAUGUUUGACUUGAACGUUUUUGUGACUUUUGUGGCCGUUACUUGAUGAAUACAGUCAUGAUAACAAGACUUCGUUUCUUCUGCUUAGUAAAUCACCGACUUCACCGGCCACUGUACGCUACCGGGGUAGAGGAAACUUUGUGGUUUCAUAGCUUGGGCCUUCUUUUUUCAGAGCAGGGAAUUUCAUUUUGGGUCAAGACUGUUGAAAAUGGCAUAGUGAAGAAGGUAGAGUCA